GUUCCUGUAGUUGAGUUACAACGAUGGUUUUUCGAGUCAUUGGUCCUGGUUAAAGUCCUGGCGGGAAUU
rnacentral:tRNA from 1 species